rnacentral:rRNA from 1 species
GACGUUACCCGCAGAAGAAGCACCGGCUAACUCCGUGCCAGCAGCCGCGGUAAUACGGAGGGUGCAAGCGUUAAUCGGAAUUACUGGGCGUAAAGCGCACGCAGGCGGUUUGUUAAGUCAGAUGUGAAAUCCCCGGGCUCAACCUGGGAACUGCAUCUGAUACUGGCAAGCUUGAGUCUCGUAGAGGGGGGUAGAAUUCCAGGUGUAGCGGUGAAAUGCGUAGAGAUCUGGAGGAAUACCGGUGGCGAAGGCGGCCCCCUGGACGAAGACUGACGCUCAGGUGCGAAAGCGUGGGGAGCAAACAGGAUUAGA